UACGGGGGGGCAAGCGUUGUUCGGAAUUACUGGGCGUAAAGGGCUCGUAGGUGGCCAACUAAGUCGGACGUGAAAUCCCUCGGCUUAACCGGGGAACUGCGUCCGAUACUGGUUGGCUUGAGUUUGGGAGAGGGAUGCGGAAUUCCAGGUGUAGCGGUGAAAUGCGUAGAUAUCUGGAGGAAUACCGGUGGCGAAGGCGGCAUCCUGGACCGGCAUUGACGCUGAGGAGCGAAAGGCCAGGGG
rnacentral:rRNA from 1 species